UACGUAGGGGGCUAGCGUUGUCCGGAUUUAUUGGGCGUAAAGAGCGCGUAGGCGGCCAGGUAAGUCCGACGUGAAAUCUGGAGGCUCAACCUCCAGCGGUCGUUGGAAACUACUUGGCUAGAGUCCGGAAGAGGAGAGUGGAAUUCCUGGUGUAGCGGUGAGAUGCGCAGAUAUCAGGAAGAACACCGAUGGCGAAAGCAGCUCUCUGGGACGGUACUGACGCUGAGGCGCGAAAGCGUGGGGAGCGAACAGG
rnacentral:rRNA from 1 species